GACAUUCCUACAGCCGGCAAAGAGGCCUGGUGAUUUGAAGCAGAGUCCUAGGCUUAUGGAGAGAGAAAACCCUGAGUGAAAUAUCUUUUGUUUGACUCAAAUCACAUUUGAAAGGCAGUAUAAGUGGUUAAGGGCACUGGCCUGAGAGGAAGGAGAGAUGGCUUCUCUUCCCAGCUUAGCCUCCAAUGUGGGCCUCAUAACCAUCAGUUGUUACUGAUGCUUGUUUUGGUUGUCAAAGAAGAAUGAGGAGAGGAGAUAUAGGAGGUGGACUUGGAGGUUUGUUCGGAGUCACUGGCUGCAGCAAGUCUCCUCCCACACAGCCGACCCCAUUCCUCAGACCUGCACUCUGUACAGCAUGGCUACUGACCAACUCAUGGUUAAAUGCGUAGGAGAAACUGAAGCACAGCUGAGGUGCCCACCAUCAGUAGAGCUAGGCCAGCAUCAGAGGAAGCUGGGCCUCCAAGCCCUUCUCGGACUCAGAAUCCUCCCAGCAGAUACCCAGGCAGAGGAGUGUGAACUCUCAGCCCCUAAAAAGGUU
rnacentral:lncRNA from 10 species